rnacentral:rRNA from 1 species
AGCUCCAAUAGCGUAUAUUAAAGUUGCUGCAGUUAAAAAGCUCGUAGUUGGAUCUCGGGGGACCUGGUCUAGCCGGUAUAGCUCACGCUAAAACUGGUCUGACCCCCCAACGUGAGGUAUUCGUCUCCGGGUGCACUUCAUUGGGUGCUCGUGAGGGGCCUCGUAGUUACUGUGAAAAAAUUAGAGUGUUCAAAGCAGGCUCAUAUGUUCGGAUAGUCGUGCAUGGAAUAACUUAAUUCGUGCCUUGCUCUUUUCAGUUGUUCUCUGCGACUGGUCAAAUGAUUAAUAGUGACUGCCGGGGGCAUUGGUAUGUCGGGGUUAGAGGUGAAAUUCUUGUAUCCUCGCCAGACCAACAACUGCGAAAGCAUUUGCCAAGAAUGUCUUCA